GUCCUUUCCAACCUUGGUGAUUCUAUGAUCCUAUGUAUGAUAAUAUCUGACAUCUAUUACAAAGUUAUUCUACAAAUAUUUUUGUAUAAAUCUGAAAUGGUAGAGUGAGCUUGUGCUGACUGUUUGCCUUUUUCAGAGCUAAAAAAACCACUAUUGAUUUUAAGAAUAAAGACAAAUUAAUGGGAAAAUAUUUUGAAUGGACUCCUUGGACCAUUCCUGUACAUUUGAGGAUCUGAGAAGUUGUGCUGGCUUCUUCUGUCCAAUUUCAGUCCUGUUCUCAUUUUGUGAUGGUGUAUUUAUACACUUGGCCACAGUUAGAUUGAUUUCCAAAGUUGUAAGUUACAGUCCUUUCCAAAUGAAGUUUUACAAUAAUUUAAGUAUUUGCACAUUUUGACCCAUAGGAUGCAUUUACUGCUAUAAGAACGUCACUUUAAUGAUCUGUCUUAGAUACAGGAAGAAGUAUGCUUCUUUCUGAGACAUACUGAACAUAACUCCAAAAAAGGAAGAUGAGUGAUUGGAGUUUGUACAUUUUGCUUAUUUUCCCAUAAAUUUGGUUUUGUCUCUUAAUUCAUUUUUAAAGACUACAUUUGGCUAUGAUCAGUGAGAUAUUUUGCAUAAAAUCCUGAUUUCAACUGAUUGCAUUCUUUAGUAUAAAGUAGAACAAGUUUCAAGAGUUUACUUAGGCAUGCCACAGUGGAACUCACUAGUGGACUAGGUACUUAUUGGUAUUGUUUUAAGAAUUAUAUUUGUAUAACACAUUUUUAAAUAAAAAGUAUUAAAGAGUGAAAUUGCCACCAGGAAGCUGCGGUUUUUACUGCUAACAAGUGGGAAACAGGGGAAAGAAGAACCCAGUUUAUUUGCAUAUUUUUAAUUCUAUGGAUAAAUGCACCACUGAAAAAACAUUUUCUUAACUGCUUUGAGAACUAGUGUCUGUAAAAGUAAGAGGAUUUUUUUUUUUUUAAUUACUAAUACACUGGAAAGAGCAGUGAAGUGUGCAUAGAGGUUUCGAGCAUAUUUCAGUAGCAGAUGUCCAGGUCGUUGAAAUCUCCCAUCAGGAUGAGGGCCUGUGAGUGCGAUGCUUCUUGAAGGUGGAGCAAGAAAGGUUUAUCUACAGGACCCCCUUGAUCAGAAUAAUUCAAGUUUUGCUGUUUGCUCAGUCUUACAUCAAAAGUCUAUGACAGAAUUAAGAGUUAUUUCUCUACAGUAACACAGUCCAUGAUGAAAGAACUGAACCGAUUUUCUGAAGACCUGGGAUAAAUUCCUAACUCUUUCACAACUCCUGCAUCUUCUGAGGGAGGUCCAAGAGAUCAUGCUCUGUUUAUUCAGUUUCAGCCUCCUUGUGCAAGACUACUAGGAGCCAACUGUGGAAACAAAUCUCUCAGCUGCUGGAGCUAUCAAGUAAUCAAGAUAUUACUCAAGAGGCUAAAGCUCUUUUGACUUUCAACCUGGGGUCUGUGAGGUUGAUGUGAAGGGAUGCUUGCUCCACCUGUGGCUAAUUAACAAAGCCAAAGUGAAACAGAGCCCAAGAACUGUAAUAAUUAAUUUCCAUUUUGAAAUGAUGGGCUAUAACAUCUCUUCACCUCACGGACCCCCAUGCUCCCACACCCUGUAUAGAGGAAGAGAAAAAAUAAAAGAAGAGGAACAGCAGGCAAUAACUUUGUUGGGGAGCACAUCCCCUUUGUUUUAUACGGUACAAAUUACUAACAUGUUGCUGGAGGUCUAAAUCACUAGAGCAUAUGUGAAAAGUGGUAAGAGGAGACAUUUGAAAUGAAAAAAAUGUAUGCAUUCUGCCUCAAACCUUGAGAGUUGUUUGUUUCUAUGACUUCCUUACAAGCUACUCUUGGGUGGUUCCUGAGACAACCAUGUACUGAAGAUUCUCUUUGAAAUCUAGAUGUGGUUUAGACAUACCCUGCAGGCAGAAAAAUAUGUACCAUGUUGCUAUAACACACUAUGUAUAUUGCUGUAACAUGCUAUACAUGUUGCUAUAACAUUUAAGGAGUAAUGUAAUGAGAAAUAAAGGAAAAUAUUUUUAUAUUACUGUUUAUUACAUUUCAUCUAUUGUUUGUUAGCUGGCUAUAGAAGCUAAUACUUAUUCAGUUUUUACAAACAAUUCAAAUAUUGGGAAACAGUUGACAACAAAGUUCAAGAUCAAUGUACGAUAUGUGCUUACACAGUAGAUAGAAUAAUAUGGAUUGUAAAACUACGUAUAGAUUGUCUUUGUCCACAUGUAUACAUAGAUACCAUUGUAUAUGAAAACAUGUCAGCGAGUUUUGUUCAGUGUGAUUCUGGUUUGUGGACUUACUGAAGAUAUUACAAAAUUGGAAAUGAUAACUUAGAAGACACAAAUUUCAUUCUCUCUAAAAUGGUAAAAUAAAGAAGGAAAGUUAUGUGAAUCUGUACCAAGAACAUUGAACUAUGGACUAAACAAAUUAUGAUGGGUAUCUAGGAGAAUUUCCCAAGUGUAUCUUAUCACUUUCUCACAGCUAUACUGAUUACCAUCAAUUUGUCUGAAUUAUUUACCUUUUAAAAGGAUUUUCACUGCAGCUCAUCUAGUCCCCUUCCCUUCUAUUCCCUUUACUUAGUGCUCACAUGAUGCAACAGGAACCAUUUCAUGGAAUCUUUGAACUUGAGCUAAUGGAAUAUGACCUUGAAAAAAUGCAACUUGUUUAUUUCCAGCACUGAAAUAUCCUAGAAAUUUAUUUUGAUUGUUACUGAAUAUAGCACAAAGUGUCUGCAUUUUGGUUUUGCUCCUCAUUGUGCAUCAUGAUAUCCACGAGAACCUGUGGCUGAUGUGAAUUACAUACACAUUUACAUACUAUAAAUGGAGAAUGGCUUUCAGUGUGCGCUGUUUAAUAAAAAGGAAUAUAUGUGAACAUAUACCAUAGAGAAGCAGAUAAAUACAAACCAAAAUAUUGUUCUCUAUUUCUUCUUUAGAUAAUAACUCUCAGUAAAAAUAUUGAAGGAUCAUUUAACUCUGUCUCUACAACAUCUAGCUUGACCUUGAUAACAAUGCAGUUUUCUAGAAUAAAGCAAGUGUAGCACGUAUUCAGGACUGCUGAGCUUUGAGCAAUGUAUUGUAGGAAUUUGGCACUCUCAUUUAGCUCUGUUCUCAGAUUUGCCAAAUUAAGAAAGAUAGUUUCUUUUCUUACAGUGUGUACAUUUGGAAUGUCUUUGGAAAACUAUAUAGAGAAAAGCUGUAUCUUUGUAUGGGUAGUACUUAAAGGAUUGUGAAGUUUUAUGCUUAUAUACAUUGAUUCAACAAGAAACUGGUUGCGCAUACCAUGACGUUCUGAAGUGGCAAAGAGUCUCUGUGACAAAUGGGAACUACACUUUCAGUAGAAAGCAUUCUUUUGAAUCAUUAUUAGUUUAGCUUGAUCAGUUCAGAAGUCUUUUUACGCUACAGAUGCAUAUUAAUAAAAAAGUCUAGUAAAAUUUAACUGUGUCUGGUGAAAUAAAAUUCUACAGAUCCGAAUGCAGUCAUGGUUAAAGUAUAAUUUGUUCUCUGCUUUUGUUUUAAUUAGGUAAGUGAAAAUUUCUAAUUGUAAUUAGUGGUUGAAAGUGAAAUAUUUGGUAACAUCAGGCAGGUCCUUCUUGCUUUGUUUCUCUCUGACAUAACCUGAAAUUAUGACAGGGGUCGAUGUGAAGUGUAGGGUGAAAUUAGGCUGCCUCAGUCCUUUGAAAAGAAAAAGAACAAAGCAUUUAGCUAAAAGAACACAAAAUUGUCAUCAAAAUAUUAAAAAAAAACAAUCAAAAUCACAUAUAGAUGGGUUCUCUUCAACACUUCUUCGUAGAAAAAAUGGUAAACUUCAAAUGCUUUACGGCUGUUUAUAUGUUGCUGUAAAAGAGAACAAAGAUGUACUUGCAAAGAGAAUUUGCAAAUGAUAAAGAAUAGUGUUUGCAAGCCUUUUUUUUUUUUUUUUUUUCCCAGAAGGAAUGAGUCUGUUGAAAGUUUUGAAAGGUCCUAAGUUGAUAAGUUUGAGCAACAUGAGGUUUAUAUUAAAAUUGUUUUUAUUCUUAAGUUUUGUUCUUCUUACAAGGCCUGGAAAUGGGACAUCACUGCGCUUCACCGAGGCUUAUCCACUCACUAUCACAGCUGUAAACUGUGUGGUUUUUUGCUGCUGAAUUGGCUAUGGCUGGACUGAACUGGAAUUUGAUGUUUUCCACGAGACAUAGUAUGGCAGCAGAAUGUAAGCUUUCAUUGCACAACAGUAAACUUUGUGGGAGAAACCUUUUACACUCCAUCAGGAUAUUAUGACUGCUUCCUAUUCUAGACAUUCAAAACAGACACUACUACGCUCUCUUGAGACCCCACCAGGAGUAUUACUUUAAGCUCUGGGUCCCCCAGCACAAGAAGGACAUAGACUUGAUGCAGAUUCCAGAUGAAGCCACAAGGAUGAUCAGGGGACUGGAACAGUGAAGAAAAGCUGAGAGAGCUGGGCUUGUUCGGCCUAGAGAAGACUCUGGAGAGUCUUAUAGAUUGUCUAUACAAAAAAAGAAAAUUGAUCACCUGCUGAACAUAGUCUUCUCCCCUUUUUAGUUUCUCCCACGUUCUCUGGAGAAGUUUGCUAACUAACCAUUUGACAUGAUGAUAUUUUUUCAUCAUAUUUCUAAAAAGACAAUAAUAAAUACUGGUCAUUCACUUGCCUCUGAAGUGCUUAUAUAAAACUGCUAUUAGGAAACUUACAUUAUUAAUGCUACCUGCAUUUGCUUCCAAUCUGAAUACAAAUUAUUGACCAACAACUGCUUAAAAGAAAUGAAAUCCCUCUAAUCACUUACAAAAAUUCAGAAGUCUGCUCUUAAAUUAGAG
ensembl:lncRNA